AUUGAACGCUGGCGGCAGGCCUAACACAUGCAAGUCGAGCGGAUGAAGGGAGCUUGCUCCUGGAUUCAGCGGCGGACGGGUGAGUAAUGCCUAGGAAUCUGCCUGGUAGUGGGGGAUAACGUCCGGAAACGGGCGCUAAUACCGCAUACGUCCUGAGGGAGAAAGUGGGGGAUCUUCGGACCUCACGCUAUCAGAUGAGCCUAGGUCGGAUUAGCUAGUUGGUGGGGUAAAGGCCUACCAAGGCGACGAUCCGUAACUGGUCUGAGAGGAUGAUCAGUCACACUGGACCUGAGACCCGGUCCAGACUCCUACGGGAGGCAGCAGUGGGGAAUAUUGGACAAUGGGCGAAAGCCUGAUCCAGCCAUGCCGCGUGUGUGAAGAAGGUCUUCGGAUUGUAAAGCACUUUAAGUUGGGAGGAAGGGCAGUAAGUUAAUACCUUGCUGUUUUGACGUUACCAACAGAAUAAGCACCGGCUACCUUCGU
rnacentral:rRNA from 1 species